AGAAGAUGACCAAGAGUCAGUUAAGAGAGGAAGAAGAUCGCCAUUAGAACGCCUCUUAUGGAACCCAUACUGGCGAUGAAAUAGAAGGUUAGAAGUGGAAAGUUGAUUUUGAAUCUUUCGGUUAAAUAUUGAUUCAAAAGUUUUAGAUAGACAGGAAAGUAAAGCUAUAGGGCGGUAGUUUGAAGGAUUGGAACGGUCACCCUUCUUAGGAACAGGCUGUACGAAGGCAUACUUCCAGCAGGAAGGAAAGGUAGAUGUUGAUAGGCAGAGACGAAAGAGUUUGACCAGGCAGGGUGUCAGCACAGAAGCACAGUUUUUAAGGACAAUAGGAGGCACUCCAUCAGGUCCAUAAGCCUUCUGAGAGUUGAGACCAGUGAGGACAUUGAAAAGAUCAUUUGGAAGAAUCUUAAUAACAGGCAUAAAGGAGUCAGAGGGGGGAUGAGUAGGAGGAAUAUGCCCAGAAUCGUCCAAGGUGGAGUUCUUACAGAAAGUUUGAGCGAAGAAUUCAGCCUUAGAGACAGAUGAGACGGCAGUGCUGCCGUCAGGGUUAAGGAGAGGAGGGAAAGAGGAAGAAGUAAAAUUGGUGGAGAUAUUUUUGGCUAGAUGCCAGAAGUCACGGGAAGAAUCAGAAGAAGCAAGGUGUUGACAUUUUCUAUUGAUAAAAGAAGUUUUGGUAAGUCGGAGAAUAGAUUUGGGACGAUUCCGGGAUGAAAUGUAAAGGUCAUAGUUAGCGGGAGUUCGAAGGCUCUGGAACCUUUUGUGAGCUGCCUCUCUAUCUUUAAUAGCACGAGAACAAGCAUGAUUAAACCAAGGCUUUUUAGCAUGAGGAGUAGAGAAAGAAUGUGGAAUGUAUGCCUCCAUUCCAGAGACAAUCACCUCUGUGAUGCGCAGAGCACACACAGAGGGGUCUCUCUCCUGGAAGCAGUAAUCAUUCCGCGGGAAAUCGGAAAAGUACAUCCUUAGGUCGUCCCACUGAGCUGAAGCAAAAUUCCAGAAGCAUCGCCUCUUCGGUGGGUCCAGAGGAUGUAUAGGAGCGAUAGGACAGGAAACAGAAAUAAGGUUAUGAUCGGAGGAGCCCAACGGAGAGAACAGUUUGACAGAGUAAACACAAGGUUAAGAGGUAGGGAAGGUCUAGAAUGUUGGGCCAGUCUCCAAGACGGUCGGGAAUACGUGUAGGGUGCUGAACCAACUGCUCUAGGUUGUUAAGGAGAGCAAAGUUGUAGGCUUGUUCACCAGGCUGGUCAGUGAAAGAGGAUGAAAGCCAAAGCUGGUGGUAAACAUUGAAAUCUCCCAAGAUGGAGAUUUCAGCGAAGGGAGAGUGAGACAUGAUGUGCUCCACUUUAGAAUUCAAAUAGUCAAAGAAUCUUACAUAGUUAGUAGAGUAAGGUGAGAGAUAAACAGCACAGAUGUAUUUAGUAAUAGAAUGACAAUGAAGUCUUAGCCAGAUGGUGGAAAAUUCAGAAGAGUCAAGGUCGUGGGCACGAGAGCAAGUGAUGUCGUUGCGCACGUAGGCGUAACAUCCAGCUUUGGAUUGAAAUUUAAGAUAUAGUAGGAGAGAACAAAGUAGAGGCUGCUGUCAGUAGCCUCAGAAACCUGUGUUUCGGUGAGGAAGAGAAAGUGAGGUUUAGAGGAGGAGAGAUGGUGUUCAACAGAAUGAAAAUUAGAACGAAGACCACGAAUGUUGCAGAAAUUGAUAAGGAGGAGGUUUGAGGAGUUAUCAGGACACCUCUCAAGUUGGCAGCCAGAAGGAGAGUCCUCCCUGGGGGAAUUUAUGGUCCCCCCCCCCCCCAUCCUACACGGUUAUGCUUAUCUUACGGCAUGUGGGUGGUCAUAUAUUUUGAAGUCUGGUGGUGGCGCGACGAAGUGUAUCUCAUGUGAAGGCUCCCCUCUAGCAGAGGCGGCUUGCUUCGUAAAAUUACAAGCAUACUUCAACUGACACAAGGUAAGUCUUGUCUACUUGUUCAAUUUUCUUUGCUCUCUCUUCGUAAGAGCAUGAUAUUUAACCAUAAUAUUUAUUGUUUUUGGGGGGACAGAGUAUACUGUGUCCCCCCUAACUCAAACUUUGGGGGGACACGACCCCUCUCCCCCAUGAGUUACACCCCUGGAUGUAAGUGAAGAACGGGGCAGAAGGGGGAGAUGGAUUGAUUUUCUACAACAGUUUGACAUCACCCGAUACACAAGGCUGGCUGUAGUCCAGCCAUGUCUACAGCAGAUUACCUGUCCAGAAUAGCCUCAGGCGAAGAAAGGGAAGGAACCUCGGCUGGGGCGGUCAGCACUUCAGCUUGUCUCGACAGCACGUUUUGGGACGUGACAACACUGAGGGAGGCACAACAAGAGGACGACGAAAUAGCAGCAGUGGUAGAGGUCCUGAAGGGGCGCGCAAAAAAUGGAACAGCCGUUGCUGAAGGGGGACCGCUCAACUUACAGACUCGUAUGCGAUUGUCAAGCCAAGGCAUCCUUUGUUAUGCUGUCCAUGGAGGACGAUGGAGUGCACCCCGUCCUCACGGAUGUAAGGAGACUUAGGUGCUGGUGAUACCAGCAUUACUAAGAGUGCAAGCCCUCCGCCUAGUGCAUGAUGCACCCCUUAGUGGUCACAUGGGAUGGAGGCGUAUGUGGGAGAGAGCGAGGAAUGGUGUCUGGUGGCCCGGGAUGAAGGAGGACGUUGACGCCCACAUUAGUUAAUGUGAAGCAUUUGGGACCAAUAAGAGGACGAAGAGCCGGGUAAGGCACUACUGCAAGGUACAUUAAUACCUGAUUGUAUGAAUAAAACCAUGCAGAUUGAUUUUGUGGGGCCUUUCUCGACCUCAGGCAAACAUAAGUUCCGGUAUGUGUUACACAUGCAAGACAUCCUCACACGAUACAUAGUGAUGGCGCCGACCCUUGAUGCCACGUUGGAUACGGCAUCGAGGACUCUUUUCAAUAGAUGGAUCUGCAUGUUCGGGCUACUGCGCACUCUGUCUUCUGACAGAGGUACGCAUUUUACCUCUAAUAUGUUCCAGGUAGUUUGUCGUGAAGCAGGUAUCCAGCAGUGGCUUGGCUCACCCUACCACCCCCACAGCCAGGCCCAGGUGGAAAGGCAGAACCAGUUGGUGGACAACCUUCGGUGCCUGUGUACGAACAAUAUCGACCACUGGCCUGAAAUGGUGCCCCAUCUGCAGUUCAGCCACGACGCUGCAAGGAACACCUCGACGGGACAGUCACCACACCAGCUAGUGUUUGGUCUCCCUGCCAGACGGCCGGAACAGGUAAUCGCCCGUGAAGUAUGUAAUGAAGACCCGGAUUGUUACAUUCCAGACUGAGUAAGCAGAGACAGCGUGAAAACUGGUGCAAGAGAAAACGAGGAAAAUCCAGAGGGCGGUGCGGACAGCGAAGGAAAAGAUCGCCCUGGCACAAAGGAGAAGGAACAGCAAGUAUUGGAGUAGAGGAGAAGCUUUUCAGGUGGGAGAGCUCCUACGCCUCAAGCUUUCCAAUGCAGAAUGACACUUCAAGGGGGGCAAGAAAAUCGCCCCUUACCUGUCUCGCCGUCACCGCGUCAUCAAGGUGUUGAGGGGAGGAUGGUCUUAUCAGCUCACCUCUGAGGACGAACCAACGGGCCGAGUGAAAGUGUGUCACUAUGAUGAGCUCAAAAGAGCACCGACAACACCCUACUCCUGGGAGGCCCCUUACACCCACAUGCAACCUCCCCUCAGGAAUGCAGGGAACAGCAUAUGCACGCCUCUUCAACAGUCAACGCGAAACAGACAGCCUCCAGGAAGAUUACAAGUCGAUCCCGGCAGAACUGCGUAUGAGUCCGAGUGGGAGGAACACUGCGACGACGAGACGAUGAAGACAACGAUGAAUAUGAUGUACAUUAUGUUAGCGAUUGUGAUAACUGAAGGUUUUUGAGAUGUGGGGAGUUAGGCUUAAUUGUAUGUAAUGGUAACAAGGGUUCUUACUGUGUUGGUUGCUGGGUUUGUAACUCGAACUCCAUUCGAGCCGAGGCAUUGAGAAAGAAAUACUUGAUCAAGCUGGCAGUCAGGUGCCGGCCUCCACAGCACUCACUUGGGAAUAAAGCACUUCUCCAAGACGCCAUUUUGCACGACCUUGACUGUAUGUAAAACUGUAUGUAUUCUCUAUAAAAUGUAUUUUUUGUUAAUAUUUUUGAGUGUCUGGAACGGAUUAAUUGAAUUUACAUUAUUUCUUAUGGGAAAUAUUGCUUCAGUUUUUGUACAUUCAGUUUUCGUCGGACUUUUUCAAACGGAUUAAUCACGAAAACCGAGGUUUCACUGUAUAUAAAUAAAAAAAAAAUUAUGCAUUUGUACCAUCAGUGGUGCAACACGCAACAGCUGAGCGUGUGUGUUGCACCACCAGCGGCGCAUGUAGUGGUUGACGUGUUAAAGGACCAUGAAGGGUUAACAGUGUUAGUAAUGAUGUAUACUGAAAUAUUGAUUCAAAAGUGGCUAUUACUUAUGGAUGUGCACAGUCACUUUGGCAGCUUAGUUUUAGUAUAGGCAGAAAUCACUGCUACAGUGGAGUGUGGUGGGAGGUGCAGGAAGGUGCAAGAGGAGCUGGAUGUGGCAGGUGGUAGGGGCUGGGGGCAGGUGCAAGAGGAGCUGGAUGUGGCAGGUGGUAGGGGCUGGGGGCAGGUGCAAGAGAGGAGGGAUGUGGCAGGAGGUAGGGGCUGGGGGCAGGUGCAAGAGAGGAGGGAUGUGGCAGGAGGUAGGGGCUGGGGGCAGGUGCAAGAGAGGAGGGAUGUGGCAGGUGGUAGGGGCUGGGGGCAGGUGCAAGAGAGGAGGGAUGUGGCAGGAGGUAGGGGCUGGGGGCAGGUGCAAGAGAGGAGGGAUGUGGCAGGAGGUAGGGGCUGGGGGCAGGUGCAAGAGAGGAGGGAUGUGGCAGGUGGUAGGGGCUGGGGGCAGGUGCAAGAGAGGAGGGAUGUGGCAGGUGGUAGGGGCUGGGGGCAGGUGCAAGAGAGGAGGGAUGUGGCAGGUGGUAGGGGCUGGGGGCAGGUGCAAGAGAGGAGGGAUGUGGCAGGUGGUAGGGGCUGGGGGCAGGUGCAAGAGAGGAGGGAUGUGGCAGGUGGUAGGGGCUGGGGGCAGGUGCAAGAGAGGAGGGAUAAGAACAUAAGAACAUAAGAACGCAGGAGUCUGCAAGAGGCCGGUAGGCCUGUACGAGGCAGCUCCUUUGACCCUAAGCUCCCGUGUAUCUAACCCCACCUAAUAUCGCUGUCCAUGAAUUUAUCUAGUCUAUUUUUGAAUGUGACAAUUGUAUUGGCACUCACCACAUGACUGCUAAGCCUAUUCCACUCAUCCACCACACUGUUAGUAAACCAAUUUUUGCCUAUGCCCCUGUUGAAUCUGAAUUUAUCCAGUUUAAACCCGUUCCUUCGUGUCCUACCCGGUUCUCUUACCAACAAAACCUUAUGAAUGUCUCCCUUAUUAAAGCCCUUCAUCCAUUUAUAAACCUCGAUCAUGUCUCCACGCACCCUUCGCCUUUCUAGAGAAUGCAAGUUUAACUGUUUGAGUCUUUCCUCGUAUGGCAAGUUUCUCAACCCCUGAAUCGUCUUAGUCAUCCUCCUCUGCACCGAUUCUAACAUUUUGAUAUCCAUUCUAUAGUAGGGUGACCAGAACUGAACCGCAUAGUCAAGAUGAGGUCUAACUAAUGCUAAAUAUAGUUUGAGGAAGACUUCGGGGCUUCUGUUGCUUACGCUCCUUGAAAUAAAUCCCAGUACCCUAUUAGCUCGAUUUCUAGCUUGAAUGCAUUGUGCCCUUGGACGGAGAUCAGAGCUCACUAAGACCCCUAAAUCUCUCUCGCACCCAGACCUACUUAUGAGAGUGUCAUUUAAGCAAUAGUUAUGUGAGGGGUUGUUCCUACCUACACUCAGAAUACUGCACUUCCCUACAUUGAACUCCAUCUGCCAUUUAUCCGCCCAGUCAUAUAAUCUGUUGAGUUCACCUUGGAGAAUACUAGCGUCCUGAUCCGACUCAAUUACUCUACCGAUCUUGGUAUCAUCUGCAAAUUUACUAACAUCACUACUAAUUCCUGUGUCUAAGUCAUUGAUAUAAAUAAUAAACAAAAGUGGACCUAAUACCGA